rnacentral:rRNA from 1 species
UACGUAGGGUGCGCGCGUUGUCCGGAAUUACUGGGCGUAAAGAGCUCGUAGGUGGUUUGUCGCGUUGUUCGUGAAAUCUCACGGCUUAACUGUGAGCGUGCGGGCGAUACGGGCAGACUAGAGUACUGCAGGGGAGACUGGAAUUCCUGGUGUAGCGGUGGAAUGCGCAGAUAUCAGGAGGAACACCGGUGGCGAAGGCGGCCUGCUGGGCAGUAGCUGACACUGAGGCGCGACAGCGUGGGGAGCAAACAGG